rnacentral:rRNA from 1 species
UACCAGCUCUCCGAGUGGUAGGGAUGAUUAUUGGGCUUAAAGCGUCCGUAGCCGGCUUAGCAAGUCUCCUGUUAAAUUCAGCGACCUAAUCGUUGAGCCGCGGGAGAUGCUACUAGGCUAGGAGGCGGGAGAGGUCAACGGUACUUCCGGGGUAGGGGUGAAAUCCUAUAAUCCCGGGAGGACCACCAGUGGCGAAGGCUGUUGACUAGAACGCGCUCGACGGUGAGGGACGAAAGCUGGGGGAGCGAACCGGAUUAGAUACCCGGGUAGUCCCAGCUGUAAACGAUGCGAGCUAGGUGUUGGGGUGGCUACGUGCCACUUCAGUGCCGCAGGGAAGCCAUUAAGCUCGCCGCCUGGGGAGUACGGCCGCAAGGCUGAAACUUAAAGGAAUUGGCGGGGGAGCACCACAAGGCGUGAAGCUUGCGGUUC